UGGGGAAUCUUGGACAAUGGGCGAAAGCCUGAUCCAGCGACGCCGCGUGGGUGAUGAAGGCCUUCGGGUUGUAAAGCCCUGUUGCAAGGAAAGAAAACGGUCUAGGCGAAUAGGCUAGGCCCUUGACGGUACCUUGCCAGAAAGCACCGGCUAACUCUGUGCCAGCAGCCGCGGUAAGACAGAGGGUGCAAACGUUGCUCGGAAUUACUGGGCGUAAAGCGCGUGUAGGCGGGUUGGUAAGUCAGACGUGAAAUCCCCGAGCUCAACUCGGGAACUGCAUUUGAAACUGCCAGCCUAGAGUGAUGGAGAGGGUAGCGGAAUUCCUGGUGUAGAAGUGAAAUUCGUAGAUAUCAGGAGGAACACCGGUGGCGAAGGCGACUACCUGGACAUUAACUGACGCUGAGACGCGAAAGCGUGGGGAGCAAACAGG
rnacentral:rRNA from 1 species